rnacentral:rRNA from 1 species
CCCCUAGAUGUUCUGGGCCGCACGCGCGCUACACUGAACAGUUCAACAAGUCUUAACCUUGGCCGAUAGGUCUGGGUAAUCUUUGAACGCUGUUCGUGAUUGGGAUAGACCUUUGCAAUUAUGGGUCUUCAACGAGGAAUUCCUAGUAAACGCAAGUCAUCAGCUUGCAUUGAUUACGUCCCUGCCCUUUGUACACACCGCCCGUCGCACCUACCGAUUGAAUGGUCCGGUGAAAUCUCGGGACGGCGGCUUGGUCGCUUGCGUCCGACUGCUGAAACUUGAUUAAACCAUAUCAUUUAGAGGAAGGUGAAGUCGUANCA